UGGUGGAGGAGAAGGUUUGAAGAUUCUGAAUGUGAAGUGAGGAUGGUGGUGAAUGAAUGAAGAGUGAAGUUGAAAAAUGGCGUGGAGGUUCUGAUUAUAUAGGUUUCAAGGUUGCAAGGUGUUUGUAUUUCCUUGUUGUGAAACUUGUGGAGCUUUGAACUGGAGUUGAACUUGUUUGUAGAUGCUGAAUGACGGAAAUCUAUGGCCGCCGCUGCUGCAACAAUUGAAAUUGAAGAGGCCAGAUCUUGUUCAAUAGGUAUGGUGCUGUUUGCAUUAUUGCGAAUAUCUCAUGGGCUUCUAACACCUAAUGAAGGCCAAGCAAAGUUGAAAGUAUAAAGCUUGCUCAAAGGAGUUUAGGAACUUAGAGCUUUUAGGUUUAGCAAUAAAUUAUGAUGUCUCUUUUUCUUUUUUGUUCCAUGUUCCAAAAGUAUGAAAAUAAUGGACAUUGGUAUAGUUUGUAAGGUGAAGAAAGGAUUAGAACUAUUUG